AAUAAUUAUUUUGAUGUUGACCGACCGAGUACGAAUUUUGGCAGUCGGUGCACAUAAAAAGUUACAAAGUCUCAAAUUAUUCAAAGUUGGAUAUCAAUCCGAAAGUUGGUCGGCACUUCUGUAAAAAAAAACAGCGCUCCAGAUUAGUCUGUGCAAAAACAGUGUUUGUUCGGUUUCGGUAGGUACUAAUCUGAAGGAAGGAUAAGUGCCGGGUGGGUUGGAUUUGCAUGUCGUUUUCCUUGAUGUACGAUUUGAUUUGUGACUUUUGACCAGUAGGGAAUAUGUCAUUUCCUUCAAAAACUGAACGGGAGAAAUGUUGGACUUCCCGUGACGAGUUGUGGAAAUGUCUUGACCAAAAUAAAGCUGACCCCCAAAGUGCGUGUGCUCAGCUUAGAACAAUUUAUGAAAGCUCUUGUCCGUCUCAAUGGGUGAAACACUUUGAUAGGAAACGAGAGUACCUCAAAUUUAAGGACAGAAUUCAAAAUGAUGGUUUCGAACCCUUGGACCGGAUUCCUAAGUCAGUUUGACAGUUAGACUUAAAUACGAUUGCAGUCAAUAAUCCAUAAAUAAUCAAAAAUGAACGAAAUUGUGUGAUCAUUAAACAUAACGAAAAAUUGAUUACGCAGCUAUGAUAAAUGUAAUGAACUAACUAAUAAUAAUGAUAUGAGUAGUGAGACACGUUUUUUUUAUAAAAUGCUUUCAUAGCAUUUAUGUAUGUGGCCGUGUAAGGCAAAAAUUUCGGGUAGGCAAUACUUUACCGAGAAUAAAUAUUCACAAAUCCCUUCUUAAUCCAAUAUAAUAUAUAAUAUCCUUUUGCCAAUUUGUAAAUUACUAGAUAGAAGGCUUUUCAGAUUUGUAAAAUAAUAGGAACACAUUAAAUGAGAUAUUUUGAAUUAAUAUAACAAUGUCAGCAGUAGAAAACUCAAUCAAAAGAAAUAAAACAAGUGGAACUAGUCACAAACCGAA